rnacentral:rRNA from 1 species
UGGGGAAUUUGGACAAUGGGCGAAAGCCUGAUCCAGCAAUGCCGCGUGUGUGAAGAAGGCCUUCGGGUUGUAAAGCACUUUUGUCCGGAAAGAAAUCCUUGGCUCUAAUACAGUCGGGGGAUGACGGUACCGGAAGAAUAAGCACCGGCUAACUACGUGCCAGCAGCCGCGGUAAUACGUAGGGUGCAAGCGUUAAUCGGAAUUACUGGGCGUAAAGCGUGCGCAGGCGGUUUGCUAAGACCGAUGUGAAAUCCCCGGGCUCAACCUGGGAACUGCAUUGGUGACUGGCAGGCUAGAGUAUGGCAGAGGGGGGUAGAAUUCCACGUGUAGCAGUGAAAUGCGUAGAGAUGUGGAGGAAUACCGAUGGCGAAGGCAGCCCCCUGGGCCAAUACUGACGCUCAUGCACGAAAGCGUGGGGGAGCAAAACAGGAUUAGAUACCCUGGUAGUCCACGCCCUAAACGAUGUCAACUAGUUGUUGGGGAUUCAUUUCCUUAGUAACGUAGCUAACGCGUGAAGUUGACCGCCUGGGGAGUACGGUCGCAAGAUUAAAACUCAAA